rnacentral:lncRNA from 1 species
UUGCCAUUGAGCCACUAUGACUUCCAUGGAGCUUGUUGAAGAACAUUUUGGUCAGACUCUUUGCAGUAGGUAUGGAAGUCCAAAAUUUCUUGUUUAUUUCAGUUGCUAAUUUUGUCAUCAGUCAGCAAAAAUUAGGUUGACUGAAAAGUCUUCUGAUUUCUUGGAUUACUUAUGAUUGCGUAACGCCAAGAGAGAUAGAUCUAACAGAAUGAACAUCUGGAGACUAAAUGUCCUGUGUUAAAGUGGUACUUCUAACUACAUGAAUUACUUGUCUCUGAAAUUAUGAGAUUAUAGACCAAAACAGUUGAUAAUAUUGAUUCUUUGAUAUUAAAAAACAUCCAUAUUUUACCAAAUCUUAUUGUAGUUGUAUCUGAUUAUCAUGGCUUAUGGCUAUCUAGGCUGGUUUGAAAGAUGAACGAUCUUGAAUUCUGUAACAGACUGCAUUCAUCCUGACACUUGUUUCAAAUCCAAAUGUAGGAAACUAUCCCUACAGGCUACACAGCAUUAUCAUAAACCAGAAAAUUCCUGCAGAUGCAGCAUUCAGCGAAGCACAGGCAUUGAAUCAUUUGCAAAUCCUCUAGCAAGAAAAGUGACAGAAUUAGCAUGCUUGUUCUUUUUCAAAUUGCAUCAG